UCUCUAGAAGACAUCUGAAGGAGAUUAAAGAUUUAUCGGUGAUGGAUGGGGAUGCGUCUGAUUAGCUUGUUGGCGGGGUAACGGCCCACCAAGGCGACGAUCAGUAGGGGUUCUGAGAGGAAGGUCCCCCACAUUGGAACUGAGACACGGUCCAAACUCCUACGGGAGGCAGCAGUGAGGAAUAUUGGUCAAUGGGCGAGAGCCUGAACCAGCCAAGUAGCGUGCAGGAUGACGGCCCUAUGGGUUGUAAACUGCUUUUAUAAGGGAAUAAAGUGAGCCUCGUGAGGCUUUUUGCAUGUACCUUAUGAAUAAGGACCGGCUAAUUCCGUGCCAGCAGCCGCGGUAAUACGGAAGGUCCGGGCGUUAUCCGGAUUUAUUGGGUUUAAAGGGAGCGUAGGCCGGAGAUUAAGCGUGUUGUGAAAUGUAGACGCUCAACGUCUGCACUGCAGCGCGAACUGGUUUCCUUGAGUACGCACAAAGUGGGCGGAAUUCGUGGUGUAGCGGUGAAAUGCUUAGAUAUCACGAAGAACUCCGAUUGCGAAGGCAGCUCACUGGAGCGCAACUGACGCUGAAGCUCGAAAGUGCGGGUAUCGAACAGGAUUAGAUACCCUGGUAGUCCGCACGGUAAACGAUGGAUGCCCGCUGUUGGUCUGAAUAGGUCAGCGGCCAAGCGAAAGCAUUAAGCAUCCCACCUGGGGAGUA
rnacentral:rRNA from 1 species